CAGUCGCCGCGGGAAAACGAAGGGGGCUAGCGUUGUUCGGAAUUACUGGGCGUAAAGCGCACGUAGGCGGACAUUUAAGUCAGGGGUGAAAUCCCGGGGCUCAACCCCGGAACUGCCUUUGAUACUGGGUGUCUAGAGUAUGGAAGAGGUGAGUGGAAUUCCGAGUGUAGAGGUGAAAUUCGUAGAUAUUCGGAGGAACACCAGUGGCGAAGGCGGCUCACUGGUCCAUUACUGACGCUGAGGUGCGAAAGCGUGGGGAGCAAACAGGAUUAGAUACCCGCGUAGUCCCUGUCUCUUAUCA
rnacentral:rRNA from 1 species